rnacentral:rRNA from 1 species
CUAAUGCGGGGCACGGCACGUGAGAGGGGAGCCGAGUGCCAGCAACAUUUGCUGGCUGUCCACGUGCGUAAAUGCACGUGUUAGCAAGGCCCGGGCAAGACCGGCGCCCGCCCCCGCGGUAACACCGGCGGCCCGAGUGGAGAUCGUUAUUAUUGGGUCUAAAGGGUCCGUAGCCUUUUUGGUCAGUCUUCCGGGAAAUCUGUCAGCUUAACUGAUAGGCUAUCGGGGGAUACUGCUAGACUUGGAACCGGGAGAGGUAAGAGGUACUACAGGGGUAGGAGUGAAAUCUUGUAAUCCCUGUGGGACCACCUGUGGCGAAGGCGUCUUACCAGAACGGGUUCGACGGUAAGGAACGAAAGCUGGGGGCACGAACCGGAUUAAAUACCCGGGUAGUCCCAGCCGUAAACGAUGCUCGCUAGUUGUCAUGCAUGGGGCGCCCUUAAAUGUGCCCGUAGGGAAGCCGUGAAGCGAGCCACCUGGAAAGUACGGCCGCAAGGCUGAAACUUAAAGGAAUUGGCGGGAAGCACAACACCGGGUGUAGCCGGCGGUUUAAUUGGCUCAACGCCGGAAAAUUCACCGGGGCCGACAGCAAUAUGUGGGCCAAGCUAAGACUUUGCCUGAAUCGCUGAGAGAAGGUGCAUGGCCGUCCCAGUUCGUACUGUGAGGCAUCUGGUUAAGUCAGGCAACGAGCGAGACCCGUCCCACUGUUACCAGCAUGUCCUCGGGGACGAUGGGUCCACUGUGGGACCGCUGAUGUCAAAUCAGAAGAGGUGCGGCCUACGUAGGUCAGUAUGCCCGAUUCUCUGGGCUACACGCGGCUUACAUUGUCGGACAUUGGUUCUUCCCGGAGGGUGUAUCUACAACCGUCUUAGUCCGAUCGGGCUGUACUCGCUCGGAGCUGAAUCGUAGUAUCCGGUCAUUAGCCGGUGAAACGUCUGUCUGCACACGAGCGAUCGUACUGGACUGUCUAUGAGUAUCGCUGGCACUGUACUGCGUGUCUUGAA